AAGUCCGGAUCUAACAUGGCGGCCAACGCCACCACUAACCCUUCGCAGCUCUUGCCGCUCGGUAACCGGCGCCGCCGGCGCCACGCUUCCGCGCUCUCGCGGUGCCCCGGCGGAGCGGGGAGGGGGUCCAUCUGCUGACCGGCGGCCGGGGAGGAAGGGAGGGAGAGGCUGUUUGCGGGCUCCUCCGCCCUCGCGGGAGGUUUGAAUGGGGCGGGCGCGCUGGAGGCGCCUCGCGUCAGGCGGGUGUUUCCUUGCCCAGCCCUGGGCGGGGGGGAGUCGGUGGGUGUGGGGAGGGGUUUGGGGAUACUUGGGGGUCUUCUGGGUCGUGGCUGGGGGCGAGCGCUGGUGCUCGGCCGUCCCCCCCGUAACGAACCGCACGCUGGCGGCAGCAGGGUGCUCUGGUUAGGGAGAGCGUGGUCUUGCAGCGUUCGCUUGCUGCCUCAGAAACGAGUUUAUCUGCUAGCAGCGGUAGAGCGUGCAAGGAGACUCUUUAAAUAUAUAUCUUUAGUGUCUUUUUAGGACAAGAGGUAACGGCCUCAAGCUGCGCCAGGGGAGGUUUAGACUGGAUGGUGGGAAAAAUCUCCUCACGGAAAGGGUGAUCAGGCAUUGGAACUGGCUGCCCAGGGAAGUGGUGGAAUCACCAUCCCUGGAAAUGUUCAAAAACCGUGUAGAUGAGGCCCUCAGUGACGUGGUUUAGUGGUGGUUUUGGCAGUCCUGGGGUAACGGUUGGACUUGAUGAUAUUAAAAGCCUUUUCCAAUCUAGGGAAUUCUAUGAUUUCAUUAUUUCCCUAAUUUUUUUGUUUAUGUGUUUUGGUUUGAGGUUUUUUGUUGUUUUGUUGUGGUUUUUUUCACCAGUGUAUGUGGCAAUUACUUAUUUGCCAUCAUGGUGUCGGGGGGGGUGUCCUAAAAAAUGUGCAUUCCAUAAAAUAAUCUCUUGUGCAUGUUAAAUCUUUUGUUUGUUUUUAUUGACAGAGCUUGUGGACAAGUGCAUAGGUUCACGCAUCCAUAUCGUGAUGAAGAGUGAUAAAGAAAUUGUUGGAACGCUUCUAGGGUUUGAUGACUUUGUCAAUAUGGUGUUAGAAGAUGUUACAGAAUUUGAGAUUACACCUGAAGGCAGAAGAAUCACGAAGCUAGACCAGAUUUUGCUAAAUGGAAAUAAUAUAACAAUGCUGGUUCCUGGAGGAGAAGGACCUGAAGUAUAAAUUGAUACGGUUGUCAUCUGUGAAGACAUGUUAUAUGUUUGUGUGUGUAUAUAUAUAUAUAAUAUAUAUAUUCUAAAUAGAGCCUUUGGGAUAUGAGUGUCAGUGGGUUUUGGCAUGGGCUGUUUGUUGGGUUUUUUAGUUACACACUCUUGCAGUUGACAUUUGAUAAAAGGCAAGGAUUUCACCUUCAGGAAAGGUACAUUGCUAACGGUAAUGCUGACCUUGUGAGUUGAAUCAUGACUUUUUUGUAAAAACAUACCAAUCUGUUCUGAAUAAAAUGCUUUCUUUUUGUUAGUUAUUGUGUUAAGUGCACAAGUUGGAUAGUUUUAUAACUGAUUGAUGCAAUGGAAAAAUAAUAAUUAUUUUUCAGUUGG
ensembl:lncRNA